AUUCAUAAUUCCAGUCUUUGGACAACAAGAAACUAAAUCAGGCGUGCUCUCUGUCACAUCUGUCAGCAUCAUGCUGCUGUGCACUGCAGGCAUUUGUCCAUAAAACUCUGUUCACAGCCAGUGGGAUCAGGACUAUAGAAAUAUCAACUGGUACUUUGCAAGAUGCAGACAUUUUGAUUGAGACUAGAGAUGUGAAGAAGUGUUCAGAUGGAGAAGAUUGGAGAAGCUGGCUGAAGAAAUGGGAGAGACAAUGCCUUCGUCUGCCAGUGGGCCUCUAAAACUUCAUGUGUUUACCAAAACUGGAUAGUGGAUCACUGCUAGCAGACCUCAUUCCAGAGAUCUCACAACGCACCACUAAACCCUUGGACCUUAUGCACUUUACAUCUUCUACAGGACAUCUGUCCAGUCCUCUCCUCCUAGCAGUGCCUAUGUGGCUCUCCUGGCACCCUCCCACUGAGCCUUCUCUACAGCUAUGGCAAGUGUAAUAUUCCUCAGUUCCUCCUUCAGAAAGCAUCUGUAAAAUGCUUUAUCUGUGGUAUGACUGUUUAGAAAGUCAGUGGUUUUCUAGAAAGAGGAAACUGGUGAAAUCAGAGUAAACUGACAGAGAUCUUAGUGUGUUGCUGUGAUGCGAGGUAAGGAAUGUAUUUUAUUAUGGAUUUUUUUUUUCUACAUGACCAGUAAAGGAAACGCUUCUGUUGGGGACAUAUUGAAUAAUAUUUUUUAAAUGGAAGUUAUAUCAAAAGGAAUAACUUCAUUGAAUUUGAAGGUUUUGGGCAAACAGUAUGAAUGGGAACAAGACGAGGUUUGUUCUGUUUUGUUAUCGAGUAUUCUGAUGUUUUGAAAAAGGAGGGGGAUUUUUGGUGCCAUUUAGAAUUGAAUAGGAUGGUUCCGUUGGAAGGGUCCUUAAUGAUCAUCUAGUCCAUCUGCCUGGCCACUUCAGAGCUAAUUAAAAGUUAAAGCACAUUGUUGAGAGCAUUAUCACAGAAUCAUAGAGAUAUCCCAAUGCCUCUUGACCACUGAAAGGCAUGGGGCUUCCACCACCUAUGCAGGAAGCCUGUUCCAGGGUCUGACCACCCUCAUAGUAAAAAAGUUUUUUCUGAUGCUCAAUCUGAAUAUCCCCUGGCGUGGCUUUGACAAAAGCAAUAACAGAAAAUGCUCUGAGGAGGUCACAAAACUCUCAGAAGAAAACAAAUUGGUUUUUAAGAUUCAAUAAUAAAGGCUUAUCUGUGGCAGUGUAUACUUGGUGUAUUACUUCAUCAUCUUUCAAUCAUCAUUUUGUUCAUAUUUCAAAAUAAUGUUAGUUUGCAUAUUCCAGCACAGAAUUAAUGAAUUUAUUCACAUUAAUGUCAUGUCUAAAGUUUAGCAUGAUCAAGACAUCAUUUAUUUGUAAAAACAUGCAUGGUUUUUGUUUACCAUUAUUUAUUUUUGAAGCUGUAUUUUGAAACAAUGCACAAUUUUUCCUCUCUUCAUUUGCUUGGCCUCUUUACAAGUAUCAAAGAAAUGAAUUUUAUGGAUUGGUUUGUUUUUGCAUCACACGAUAUUUAUCCCACUGUGUAAUGAUUUAAUUAUUUAGUUGAUGCUUGUACAUUAUUUUGUAUUUUGAAAAAGUAGCCAUUAAAAGGUUUCCAACAUGAAUUUCUCUUUCCUAGUAGCUGCUGACUUUUCAAGUUGUUUUUUUUUCUUUCUUUCUUUCUUUUUUUUUACCAGGCAAAACCAUCACAGUGCUCUCUAAAUCCUCUGCAAAUAAUACACAAAUGUCUAUGUGGUUUGGUUAAAAUGAGCGUAUAUAGCUAUAAACCUAACACACCAAUAUUUUCUUUCUGUCAAAAAAUCUUCUUUAGUGACAUCACAAGAUUCUACACAAAUGUCAAAGCAGAACUGCUAAGUCUGAGGUGGCUUGUUGCCAAGUUACAUAAUAUAUAUUCUCUACAGUUGUACACAGGUUUUUCAAUAUAAUUGUCCCUUAUUGGCAUAGUUCUUAAAAUCUUGACUUUCGUAGUAUUUGACAAACAGUAUCAAUUUCAUCAGAGUAGCUAACAGGUAACUGAGUAGAAGAAAUAUGCUACGAGCUUUCUACUGCUUUAAACAAUGAUAGACUUAAUAAAAAAAAUUAUCAUAUGCCUCACUAUUGACUACAUUAGUACAUAGUGAACAGAAAAGUACUUACACAGUAUUCAAUUUGUUUCUUAGAAAAAAUACCCAGUGAUGAAAAGAGACCUGUCAUUUUCGUGAUACUCUAGAAGUUAGAGUUGCUGAACAAAACAAAGUCUGAAUAAUCCCCAUCACAUAAGUAAAAAUGAAUUGAAAUCCUAGCGCAUGAAGCUACUUAGGAACUUUGAACAGCGGAAAUAAGAAUUAGAAUAAUUUGCCUUUAAUACAGAAGUUCUUUAGCAUGAAUUUAUUAUUGUUUUGGAUACAAAUGUAUGACAAUGAUAUUUUUCUGUCAUGCAGUGUAUGUAUUGUGGUAGGAAAAGUAUGAAGUGUUGUUGUUUGGACAACCAGAAUGUCAGUCAGAGCUCUCACCUUAUGACAGCGAUCAUAAUGAGGUUCUACAUGUGUAAACAGUAUAAACAUAAAUAACAAUGUCUGACCAAUGGGAUUCAAAAUAUUGAAUACAUUGAAAGCUAGUUACAGCUUACCAUUAAUGUGUGAAUUACAUACUAGCAUUGUAAAAGUUCAAAUUUUAAUAAAGUUUAUUUUGGAUU
ensembl:lncRNA